rfam:Paenirhodobacter enshiensis strain DW2-9 contig14_scaffold6, whole genome shotgun sequence.
GAACCGUCCCAACGGCUUCCUGGCGGGACGGGGGUAGAACGAAUGGAGCA